rnacentral:rRNA from 1 species
UACGAAGGUGGCAAGCGUUGUUCGGAUUUACUGGGCGUAAAGGGAGCGUAGGUGGUUAGGUAAGCCCUCCGGGAAAUCUUCAGGCUUAACCUGAAAAGGUCGGGGGGGACUGCCUGGCUAGAGGACGGGAGAGGAGCGCGGAAUUCCCGGUGUAGCGGUGAAAUGCGUAGAUAUCGUAAGGAAGACCAGUGGCGAAGGCGGGUCUCUGGACAAGUUCCUGACGCUGAGGCACGAAGGCCAGGGGAGCAAAACGGGG